CAGCAUUUAGUUUAUUUAUUAAAAUUUAAACUUUGGAAGUUUGAGAAGUUUUAUUUACUUUGCUGA
rnacentral:tRNA from 2 species